AAAAAAAAAAGUACAUCCGAAAUGGUGAAACCCCAUUUUCAUUUCAAACAUGCAUACAUAUUUUCAAUACUAACCAAGUGCAGGUACGAAUAAAAUUCAAUACAAAAGUACAAUGCAGAAGCACCAUCAAAGGGGAAGUUUUGAAGGGUAAUCAUGGAAAGGAUCCAGCAAAGGGUACGCAAGACUUCAAACAGUACCGAGGCAAAGCCGAUUCAAGGGGUU
rnacentral:lncRNA from 1 species